UACGGAGGAUGCAAGCGUUAUCCGGAAUGAUUGGGCGUAAAGCGUCCGCAGGUGGCUAUGUAAGUCUGCUGUUAAAGAGUGAGGCUCAACCUCAUAAGAGCAGUGGAAACUACAUGGCUAGAGUGCGUUCGGGGCAGAGGGAAUUCCUGGUGUAGCGGUGAAAUGCGUAGAGAUCAGGAAGAACACCAGUGGCGAAGGCGCUCUGCUAGGCCGCAACUGACACUGAGGGACGAAAGCUAGGGGAGCGAAUGGG
rnacentral:rRNA from 1 species